UCUCCUGGAAACGGGUGGUAAUGCCGGAUGCUCCAGUUGUUCGCAUGGUUUUUUGGGAAAGCUUUCGCGGUAUGGGAUGGGGUCGCGUCCUAUCAGCUUGACGGCGGGGUAACGGCCCACCGUGGCUUCGACGGGUAGCCGGCCUGAGAGGGCGACCGGCCACAUUGGGACUGAGAUACGGCCCAGACUCCUACGGGAGGCAGCAGUGGGGAAUAUUGCACAAUGGGCGCAAGCCUGAUGCAGCGACGCCGCGUGAGGGAUGGAGGCCUUCGGGUUGUAAACCUCUUUUAUCGGGGAGCAAGCGAGAGUGAGUUUACCCGUUGAAUAAGCACCGGCUAACUACGUGCCAGCAGCCGCGGUAAUACGUAGGGUGCAAGCGUUAUCCGGAAUUAUUGGGCGUAAAGGGCUCGUAGGCGGUUCGUCGCGUCCGGUGUGAAAGUCCAUCGCUUAACGGUGGAUCCGCGCCGGGUACGGGCGGGCUUGAGUGCGGUAGGGGAGACUGGAAUUCCCGGUGUAACGGUGGAAUGUGUAGAUAUCGGAAAGAACACCA
rnacentral:rRNA from 1 species